AGGCUCCUAAUGAAGCCAGAUUUAAAGUUAGUUAAUCAGUGUAGUUAGGUAAAUCCGGGUCUAAUAUCAAGUGAAAUCUAAAAUGGAGGCCAUGAGAAUGAAUUCCCGGAAAAGUUGAGCAACUCUUGAAAUGUUAAUGAAGUCCAGGAAAUAGCCCCCAACAGAUUUGAAGAUAGCCCAUCCCAAAGAAAUGUUAAUGAAGUCCUUCCUCCCCAGAUUACUUCUUUGGCUCACCUGUGUCCCACCCCUUGGGCCUUCCAACCUACAUUCCAUCACUGAAAGAACUAUAAAAAGGGGAAACAAGCGCACUUCCACGGAUUCCACCUCUUGGGUCCCCUUCUUCCUCCGGGAGAAGUCUUUUCUGCUGUCCUUUAAUACACUUCUAAUUUCCACUCUGACCUUGCCUCGGCGUGCUUCUCUGGUGUUAUUCUUCAACAUUGGGGAAGCAAGGACUUGUCACCGGUCAACAGCGGUAACAUAUUGGAGGUCCCACCGAGAUUCUACACUGAGGUAAUUUAAUGUAACUUAAUACUACUUUAGAAACUUCAGAACAAAGGAAGUGGCUUACUGAUCCUGAAGGAAUUUCUUCUGAUGGUAGCUUUUAUAUUAUCAAGUAAGAUCCUAUUUUCAGUUUUGUGUGAACAAGUUUUUCUAGUUUAGGAAGACAUAAAGGUAUGAAAUUUUGUGAAUUGUAUCUUAAACUUGUAUCAUAAUUUUCAACAUCCAAACCUAAAAAUUGUGACUUAUGGUUAAAAUGCCUUAGGCAUGAAUCUUCUCCUCAGAAUUCCAGUUUUUCUUGCUCCUUCCAGACUUCACGCAGGAUUUAAGUUGAAAUGCAAAUAGAAGAAGCCUGUGAGCUCAGUAGGAGACUGAGCUGAGGCCCAAUGGAAAAAAAAAGUAAAGGUGUCUUUUACCUGAACUCAAACUAGAUUAAACCAAAAAGUAAAUUGUAUGGCAUUUACUAAUUACUGGCUGGUCAUUUUUUCUAGGACUUCUGCUUUUUCUUAAUUAUGUAUUUUUUUGAGCUCAUGAUUUUGAUCCUACAGACAAGUAAAUGUUUUUCUCAUAAGUUCUAUUUUUGAUCAACUGUGGAGUUUUUAAACAUUGCAAUGGAGAUUUCACCUGAGAAAAGCUACAAGGCCUUUACCUAUUGUGUUAUGUGUUACACUUGUGAUAUGUGUUAUGUGUCAUAUGUCUGUAUGUGUCUAUGUCCAUAUAUCAUGCAGUGAUAUGAGGAGCCUCAUGAAAUAAAAAAAAAAAAAAAGGAUCCAAAUAUCUUUGAUUCACGUGAUUUAAAUGGUUCAAUUUAAAUUGGGUAAACAGAUAAAAGUAAAGAUGUCUUUAAAAUUAAGCUUAUAAGUUUUUCUAGGUGUUCAAAAAAGACCCUAAUAAAAUGUUGAUGUCUAUGAAGUAAUCUGCCUAAAUUCAGAAAUUUACAAGGAUUGUUUCAAAAUGUGAACAAAAAAGGAGGUUAACAGAUGGAAAAGAAAAAUUAAAAGGUUCUAGGUAUGGAUUUAAUAGAAGGAAAAUGUGUUUCUGGAUAAGAGUCUAUGUGAUUAAGUAAAUAAGAGGGUUUAAGUAAGUGAUAAAGAAGGUCUGUGUAAGUUGGUUAUAUAUGUAAGUUUUUGAGCAAGUAAUCUUAAAGAAAUUAAACAGCUGGUUAAACAAGUACUGUUGUUUUAGAGAAUUGUGCUAUGUUAUUUCUUUAAAAGCUAAACUUGGUUAAUAUAAAAACAUCAAUGUAAUUGUGGUGCUAUUAAUGUGUUCAUAUCUUCCAGGUAUACAAGUCUGUAAGGUAGAAGCUUUAAAAGAGCAUUAUAUCAAGCUGGUGUUCUAAAGUUGUAUGGUAAUUUUAGGCUUAAAAAAAACAUGUUGGAGAUUUAUUUAUAUAAUUUGUGUUCUAUAACUGGACUUGUUAGUGUAAGAUGUAAAGUUCUAUGUUACUUUUUAUACUAAGAUACAAUUUAAAUGUAUUAAGUUAAUGAGAGCCUAAUCUGUGUAAAGGUUUUAUUGCAAAACACAAAAGUACUUUGCUACUUUUCUACAAAAGGUUAAAAGCUUUAAGCCUUUCUUUAAUUCAUGUUUUAGGUGUGAUGUUAUAUUGUGUUAGCUAAUAUUCAUGUGAACUUGAGCAACAAUUUAUGUAGGCUUUAUAAAAUGAUGUCUAAAAAGCAAAGAUCAGCUUCAGAACUAUAGUACUUAAGAUUUAUGAAGAACCCCACCUUACCUGAGAUAAGGCUCUAUGUCCCAUCUCACUUCAUGUGAAAGUGACUAUGAAAGAAGUAGGUCAGAUUUCAGUACAUUUAAAGUUGUGUCCAAAAGUUGGUUUUUGUCAAGAUUACUAGGAUCUCAAACAGGGAAUUAUAAUGUAUAACUCUGCCAAAAUUCAAGGUAGCUAUUACAUGAACUAAAUAUGUUUUUACUCUUGUUAAUUUUAUUUUGUAGUUUUCUUAUAAAUGGUCUAAAGAUUGCCUGUUAAUGCUUUACAGAGGUACUGCUUUAAGAACACACAACCUGGGUUAAUUUAAGAUAAUGAGUUAUCACCUACAGGAUAGAGAGAUAGACAUUAAAGCCCAGUACUCUUAAUAUAAGGCUGUUGAAAUUUAUUUGCUGGAUGUUUAAGAUUAAGUUUUAAAAUUAAAGUUAAAUUAAAAGGGCCAAGAAAAACCAAUGUUUGGCUCUUGCCCUCUGAGUCAGUCUGAAUCCAGGGAGGAGGGGACUUCUCCAAAGAGCUUUGCAACUCUGGGCCACAUAACCUCCCAAUCAGGGAGAUUAAUGAGACCACUCGAGAACAGAAAGCCAAUCGGUGCAUUUGCUAUGAAGAGGAGAGUCAUCAGAGAAGGGAGACAUCCCUGAUGCUUCCAAGGGAAGCCACAUGGUCAAGCAAAGCCUGGACCCAUCCUAGCGCAAAUGGCACUAGCGGAACUGAGAAGCUGCUGUAAAGUUCCCCCAUGAUUCCAUGGAAACACAGCUGACUGUUAACAAUAGAUAAAAACAAGUCAGUUUGACUACUUCAUCUUAAACACUUAGCAAAGAUAGUUAAAAUCAAAACACAGCUAUUCCAGGGCAUUUUAAAUAAUAAUAGCUAAAUGUAACAUCCAAGAAUAAGUAAACUGGAGGCUACAAAAGAGAUUCUUAAGCAGGAAUGCCUGAUAACUAUUAAAAAGAAACUGCCAGAGUAGUUUUUAGUUUGAGGCCUACAGAUAUUCCUAACCUACACAGGUAGACUUGGUGUUUGCUAGUAUGAUUAUCCAGCCCUAAGUAACAGAAUUAAAGGUCUCUCUAUUAGACACAGAGGUCAUACUAGUAAAAGGAUUUUGCAAGAUCAGAUGACAUUAAAUUAUUAAACUGUAUCUUAAGGGAAAGGACAUCUGUAACCCUAAAAGUUAAAUGUUGUGUUUACAUCCCUGACAAUUCUGGCAAUGUGACAAAUAUCCUUAAAGAUUUAUAUGCUUAGAUAGAAGCCAUGUCCUCACCAACUUUGUCAUGGGAACAAUAUCUUAGCUCCUGGUUCUUUGGUACUUCCUGGUGGAAAACAUUGUUAGUCUCUGUCUUUGUCAUCAUACUCAUUGACAUAUUCCUGUGCUAUGGCAUUUAUUGCUGCAUCAAUAUGGUUCCAGUACUAAUGAAUUCUUGUUUCUCUUAUAGACCACCCAUCACUCAAAUGGCCUUCCAGCCUAUUACUUCUCAAUCGGACUUUUAUCAUGGACCACUCGAUAGACCCGAUUUUUAAAGGGGACUCCAAACUGCUUGCCCCACAUUGUCCCCUUUCAGCCUGAAGAAGCCAGAAGGAUCUUCACCCCCUUUCCUUACAGCAGUAAGGAGUUCCCAAAAUUAGAGGGGGGGAAUGAAGCCAGAUUUAAAGUUAGUUAAUCAGUGUAGUUAGGUAAAUCCGGGUCUAAUAUCAAGUGAAAUCUAAAAUGGAGGCCAUGAGAAUGAAUUCCCGGAAAAGUUGAGCAACUCUUGAAAUGUUAAUGAAGUCCAGGAAAUAGCCCCCAACAGAUUUGAAGAUAGCCCAUCCCAAAGAAAUGUUAAUGAAGUCCUUCCUCCCCAGAUUACUUCUUUGGCCCACCUGUGUCCCACCCCUUGGGCCUUCCAACCUACAUUCCAUCACUGAAAGAACUAUAAAAAGGGGAAACAAGCGCACUUCCACGGAUUCCACCUCUUGGGUCCCCUUCUUCCUCCGGGAGAAGUCUUUUCUGCUGUCCUUUAAUAAACUUCUAAAUUCUACUCUGACCUUG